CCAAGGACGACGAAGCCAUGUUAGCAGACAUUGAUCGCUUUCUCAUCGAGAAUUUCAAGAACCUAUUCCUCGAUCGUGAAGAAACCACCACCAACAAUGAAUCCAAAGAACAAAAUUCUCCCAAACUAGACUCUGUCAGAUUUGACUCUUCUCUAAGGUUCGAUGAUUCGCCACUGAACCUCUACACAGACACAACAACCGAAGCAGGACUAUCCAGUUUGACCAUGUCUGAGCCCGAGAGCACGGAGGAACAAACCACCGUUCUGAGUAAUUGCGUGGUGGUUUUGGCCAACUCCGCCAGACCCACCGAGGAUUUCCGUCGGUCCAUGGAGGGCAUGGUUGAAGCAAGAUUGAAGAAGAGUGAAAAGGUAGAUUGGGGCUUCAUGCAGGAGCUUUUGUUCUGUCACAUGAAUCUGAACCAGAAGAAGUGGCACAAGUUCAUUCUCAGCGCCUUCGUGGAUAUCGC
rnacentral:sRNA from 1 species